CCCUUAGAUGUUCUGGGCCGCACGCACGCUACACUGAUGCAUUCAACGAGCCUAUCCUUGACCGACAGGUCCGGGUAAUCUUUGAAUCUGCAUCGUGACGGGGAUAGAUUAUUGCAAUUAUUAAUCUUCAACGAGGAAUGCCUAGUAGGCGCAAGUCAUCAGCUUGCGUCGAUUACGUCCCUGCCCUUUGUACACACCGCCCGUCGCUCCUACCGAUUGGGUGUGCUGGUGAAAUGUUCGGAUCGGCCGUUUGUCGCGGUUUCCGCGUCAUGUGGCUGAGAAGUUCAUGAAACCCUCCCACCUAGAGGAAGGAGAAGGCGUAACA
rnacentral:rRNA from 1 species